rnacentral:tRNA from 2 species
GCCGGGAUGGCGGAAUUGGUAGACGCAGUAGACUCAAAAUCUACCGGCUUCGGCUGUGCGGGUUCGAGUCCCGCUCCCGGCACCA